GCUUAGUUUGGCUAGAUAUGAAAUUCUGGGUUGAAAAUUCUUUUCUAUAAGAAUGUUGAAUAUUGACCCCUACUCUCUUCUGGCUUAUAGGGUUUCUACCAAGAGGUCUACUUUAGUCUGAUGGACUUUCCUUUGUGGAUAACCCAACCUUUCUCUCUGGCUGCCCUUAACAUUUUUUUUUUCAUUUCAAUCUUGGUGGAUCUGAAAAUUAUGUGUGUUGGGGUUGCUCUUCUCGAGGAUAUCUUUGUGGUGUUCUCUGUAUUUCUUGAAUUUGAAUGCUGGCCUGCCUUGCUAGGUUGGACAAGUGCUCCUAGAUAAUAUCCUGAAGAGUGUUUUUCAACAUGGUUCCAUUCUCCCCAUCACCAUCAGGUACUCCAAUCAAACGUAGGUUUGGUCUCUUCACAUAGUCGGAUACUUCUUGGAGGCUUAGUUCGUUCCUUUUUAUUCUUUUU